ACUGUUUGAUCAUUUGCACAGACGUGCCAUGCAAGUAGUUGACGAAGGGAUGGUUUCUCAACAUCACUAUAUGGUUGCUUGGCAGGCGUUUAAGGAGUCCUUGAAUAAGGUUCGUCUUGCAGCGGACAAACGUGUAUCAUAGUGAACUAAGUUGAGGUUUAACAAUUUGUGUAGUUUCUGAACUUUUUUUUGUCCACACAUCAUUAUGUAUAGUGAGUGCAUUACUGCAUUUAAAGGCCUUGCUUAUAGAGG
rnacentral:misc_RNA from 1 species